rnacentral:rRNA from 1 species
AUUGAACGCUGGCGGCAGGCCUAACACAUGCAAGUCGAACGGUAACAGGAAGAAGCUUGCUUCUUUGCUGACGAGUGGCGGACUGGUGAGUAAUGUCUGGGAAACUGCCUGAUGGAGGGGGAUAACUACUGGAAACGGUAGCUAAUACCGCAUAACGUCGCAAGACCAAAAAGGGGGACCUUCGGGCCUCUUGCCAUCGGAUGUGCCCAGAUGGGAUUAGCUAGUAGGUGGGGUAACGGCUCACCUAGGCGACGAUCCCUAGCUGGUCUGAGAGGAUGACCAGCCACACUGGAACUGAGACACGGUCCAGACUCCUACGGGAGGCAGCAGUGGGGAAUAUUGCACAAUGGGCGCAAGCCUGACGCAGCCAUGCCGCGUGUAUGAAGAAGGCCUUCGGGUUGUAAAGUACUUUCAGCGGGGAGGAAGGGAGUAAAGUUAAUACCUUUGCUCAUUGACGUUACCCGCAGAAGAAGCACCGGCUAACUCCGUG